rnacentral:rRNA from 1 species
GUUUAGUCAAACCUUCAACGGUGAACCGCGAACGGCUCAUUAGAUCAGCUAUGGUUCCUUGGAUCGUAUUUACUACAUGGAUAACUGUAGUAAUUCUAGAGCUAAUACAUGCAACUAUGCCCUGACCCGCGAGGGAACGGGUGCAUUUAUUAGAACAGAACCAACCGGUUGUGGUUUCGGCCGCUUCCGUUUGCUAUGUGAUGACUCUGGAUAACUCUACCGAUCGCAGUCGGCCUUGUGUCGGCGACGGAUCUUUCAAAUGUCUGUCUUAUCAAUUUUCGAUGGUAGGUGACCUGCCUACCAUGGUGAUAACGGGUAACGGGGAAUCAGGGUUCGAUUCCGGAGAAGGAGCCUGAGAGACGGCUACUACUUCCAAGGAAGGCAGCAGGCGCGUAACUUACCCACUCCCGGAACGGGGAGGUAGUGACGAUAAAUACGGAUACGGGACUCAAAAGAGGCUCCGUAAUUCGAAUGAGUACAAUUUAAAUCCUUUAACGAGGAUCAACUGGAGGGCAAGUCUGGUGCCAGCAGCCGCGGUAACUCCAGCUCCAGUGGCAUAUAUUAAAGUUGUUGCAGUUAAAAAGCUCGUAGUUGGAUCUGGGCUGGGCGGCUGUGCGCCGUGCUCGCAUUUCCGGUCUGGUCAUUCUAGGUCGGGAUAGUGAGUCGGUGCCGCGGUCGUUCGGUCUUUCUGCUGUGUCUGUGAAAGCAGGUGCUGACCUCGGUUGGCAUGCUCUCGGAUGCCCUUCAACGGGUGUUGAGUGCGGACGGCAUGAAUACUUUGAACAAAUUUGAGUGCUCAAGCAGCCCAUGUGCCUGAAAAGUCUUGCAUGGAAUAUGGAAUAGGACUUCGGUCUUAUUUUGUUGGUUUCGGAUCCGAGUAAUGGUUAAGAGGGACAGACGGGGCAUUUGUUUGGCGGCGUAGAGGUGAAAUCUGAUCGUUCGCAGAACCAACUACAGCGAGGACAUUGCAAGGAUGUUCCAUGGAAUCUGGGAGCGAAGUUCAAGAAGAGUC